rnacentral:rRNA from 1 species
GAUGAACGCUGGCGGCGUGCCUAAUACAUGCAAGUAGAACGCUGAAGCUUGGUGCUUGCACCGAGCGGAUGAGUUGCGAACGGGUGAGUAACGCGUAGGUAACCUGCCUGGUAGCGGGGGAUAACUAUUGGAAACGAUAGCUAAUACCGCAUGACAACAGUUAUUGCAUGAUAACUGUUUAAAAGGGGCAAUUGCUCCACUACCAGAUGGACCUGCGUUGUAUUAGCUAGUUGGUGAGGUAACGGCUCACCAAGGCGACGAUACAUAGCCGACCUGAGAGGGUGAUCGGCCACACUGGGACUGAGACACGGCCCAGACUCCUACGGGAGGCAGCAGUAGGGAAUCUUCGGCAAUGGACGGAAGUCUGACCGAGCAACGCCGCGUGAGUGAAGAAGGUUUUCGGAUCGUAAAGCUCUGUUGUAAGAGAAGAACGAGUGUGAGAGUGGAAAGUUCACACUGUGACGGUAUCUUACCAGAAAGGGACGGCUAACUACGU